rnacentral:rRNA from 1 species
UACGUAGGGUGCAAGCGUUGUCCGGAAUUAUUGGGCGUAAAGAGCUUGUAGGCGGUUUGUCGCGUCUGCUGUGAAAUUUCGGGGCUCAACCCCGAACUUGCAGUGGGUACGGGCAGACUAGAGUGUGGUAGGGGAGACUGGAAUUCCCAGUGUAGCGGUGAAAUGCGCAGAUAUUGGGAGGAACACCAAUGGCGAAGGCAGCACCCUGGGCCGGUACUGACGCUGAGGAGCGAAAGCGUGGGGAGCAA